GCAAAAUUAGCACAACAGGUAAGAGCUCACUUAAAGAAAGGGGUAAUGCAGCCAUGCUAGCUAAAGAAAGAAGAAACUUUUUAGCAGCAGCGAUUCUCAUGUUGGUGGCAGGAGUUCAGACUAAAUACAGUGUAACUCUCUCCCCUCGGAGGCUCUGUGUAAUUAAUGGAUCUACAAUAAAAAUCUCCUGUAAAUAUUCACACCCUCAUUAUUCCAGUGUUACACAGAGAGAGUGGUAUAGAGUCCAGAGCUCUAAAGGAGAACCACAAGACCUGAGCACAGAUCCACAAUACUCAGGACGAGUGUCUGUAAGCACAGUGACGUCUGACUGUGAGCUGACAGUGAGGAAUGUGAGAGUGAGUGACUCUGGAGUUUAUAACUUUAGAUUUAAAACAGACACAAUUAACUGGAAAGCAGCCCUAUUUGGAGUUCAUCUGAUUGUUACUGAUUUUAAGGUUGAAGAAUCAAAAUGGAUGAAUGGGUAUAAAAGGCUGAAAUGUAUCACCCGCUGCACUCUGUCUAACACCAUCACUUACAUCUGGUACAAGAACAGACAGUGUGUUACUGACAUGAACAGAAAUGUACUGUAUCUCUAUGACCGU